ACUCAUUCGGAGAGUACAAGUGAAAGUCCCACUUUCAAAGGGGGGUUUUUCCGCUUUGUUUGGUAAAGGGACAUUUUCUUUUGCUACCUCACGAAAGCUGGAUUUUUCAGGGACCCGUAAUAUUCGGUUCCCGUGCACUGCUGUCGAGUUUGGCACCGUUAUUGGUACGGAGUUUAUGGCUCGGCAACUGCCAGAUUCGAGUACAAUAUGUGAAGUUGACUCAUCUUCGAAGAUGUGGAUAUCAUGAGGAUACGAGCUAAGGAUAAAUUAUGAUCAUAGUUCGUGUCCCCGUUGUACUUACAUCUCUGAAUAUGGGUCAGAGGAAGAAAGGCCUAGUAUGUGUCGACCGCUAGAGCGCAAGUAUCCCCCGCUGAGCUUUUUGGAGAUCAGCUUCGUACGGCGUAGACGGAAUAUGCUUCACAACUAUGGCUCGUGACAUAUGAUCAAAUGAGGCUUGUGUCCUGCCAGUUCAACUAACCACAGGGAUGUAGAAUUACCUCAUCAAAUGUGGCCUUUCUAAAUUUGGUUCCCCAUUGGCGGGCCUUUUCUUGAAAAGCAUCUGCUCGAAGAUAUGCUUCAUCUCCAGGAUUUGCCCCAAGAGCAUCAGUGAGGACCAUCAAACUUUUCCACACUUGUGUCAGCUCUGAUAUGCUAAGAACUGUUUUCUCACAAGUGGGAGUGGACGAUGGCUACAAAACACAAAGCAAUUGUUAAAUUAGCUUUAUACACAGUAGUAUCCUGGGUGUGCUGGUCUUUUUUAUAAUGAAAAUAAAAAUCAUACCUCAAA